ensembl:lncRNA
UAUUAUUGAACUUGUUAGAGCUGAAAUUGAAUUAGAAAUGUAAUACUUCCCGUAACCAAUGUCAAGCUGUUAAAAUAAAAAAAUCAAGGGUACCUACACUGUAAAAAUCAGUGCACAAUUGCGUCUGUACAUGCAAAUGCAUUAAACCAAUAAAGACUGAAAAAUAUCUGAAAAGUUUUCUGCCAAGUUUUCUAAAAGCUGCCACAAUGCUCUCGUGAGGUCGGCCUUAGAAAGCAGUAUGUCUAAAGUCCUCGUAUCGUCCAGUUUGCUGUUGAGUGCUUUUUGUUUUCAUUAGACUGACAGGAAGGGAGCAAUUUCUGCGCGUUUAGAAGUGUUGUCGAACAUGCGAUCAGUCAGUCCUGCAGCACUCGUCUCCCUCUGGAGUUCAUUAACAUCACUUCUGUUAUAGAACUCCCGUUUCCCCACGAGGCGGCAGACCGACAUCCCGGUGAAAUGAGAAGUUGUGUCUAUCUGGCUGUAUUUUAUAACUACGCACUUGCCAGCGAAGUGACCUAAUUCUGUCUUUUUCUUCUUUCCCUCUCUAAAGCACCGAGCCUGUCCUCAAGAUCACAGGCGAUGUGAGGGCUGCUAAUGACGUCGAAGUAAGAAGCGUCGAUGACGCGGUGCGUGAUGUGGCGAAGUCCCCGCUCUCCCAGACGAAGAUGGCCAACCCGGAGUUCCUUGCAUCGUCCUCGAUCCAGCCACAAUUCCACCACGAAUUCCCGACCACCACGUCCAUCAACCCGUCUGUCUGUACUAUGCAAUUGUAAAUUCUGUGAACAUGUAGAUCGAACCUGAUUUGGGUUUUUGCUUGGGAUUUGUACGAACAACACGAUGAUAUUUCGGCUAACGGGGGCUUCGUAACGUAUAACCUGUUCAGCUUUUAUUUCUAUUUUUGUGCACGCGCUCCGGGAACCUCCGUUUACCUCCUUCACGUUUCUCAGAUAUUUAUAAAAAAAAACAAAAAACAAAUGUUGUAGCUGGGAAUGAAGACCACUCGUGUUUUGCCCCUUAAUGAAUCACCUCAUACUGAUAAAUGCAUGUUUCUUCCCAGAAUGCAUCCCUCUGCUGUGUUUCUCGUGUUUACAGCGUAAUCCGUGCCGUCACCCGCGAACUGGUUGGCUGUUCUUGGAAAAAAAAAAUCAUUCCGAUAACGGUACGUGCUGAGUGCUCCGUUGCUCUUCCGACGCCACAGCAAUUUGCCAACGUUAACCUUUUUAAAAAAUAAUAAUAAUAAUAAUAAUUUUAUUAAAGAGUGACACCUCGUACUUUUUAUCCGCUUAUAAUUACAUUUACUGUUGUGGAAAACAAGUUCCUGUUCGAAACCAUACCCCGCCCCCCUUGUGUAAAUACUGUACAUGUUCAGGAAUGCCGAGAUGUUUUAGCCCUGUGUGCCUAUACAGCAUCCAUUCCAAGGAGAGGAUUUACGAGACGGAAAUAUAGAGAGCUCUAAAUUCAGAUUCGACAAAAUUUUAUUAUUAUUUUUUUCCUCUUUGAGUCGAAUAGUUUUCUAAAGUCAAAUCAAAUCAGAAGAAAGCCAUGAUUGCCUUGCUACCUCAGACUUAACAGCGUUCAUUUGCGAGAUUUGUGUUGUUUUUUUGUUUUUUUUGUCAUUAUUUUUCUUUCGCAAAACCACAAACAGAAACCUAAAGCCACAAAUGCUAUAUUUUAAAUAACGUUCCUUGAGAUCACUUAUUUAAUAAGAUCAGGGAUGAAGAUCAAGAUUGACAGAUAAGGCUGAAAAUGAAAAGUCAACGAUUUAAAAAAGAAAAGAAAAGAAAAGGUAAACAUAAAAUUCUGUGGUUGGUCUGUGAAUUUUUUUCAUAGCUUUUUAAUUUUUUCUACAUGGUGUAGUUUGUGCUUUUCCCAGUGAAGCAUUAACACUACUAUGACCUGUCCGAUGUGUCCCCGACUGCGGGGUUUUGGACGCGCCAGAUAUCUCCGAGUGCUGAUCUGAGACCAGGUUUGUCUCCUCCAUCGAUAAAAGGACUGAUCUCAGGUCAGCAUCUCGUAAGUCCAGGUCCCGAUGUUAAUUUUUUUUGUGCUGUUUCACGUCCACCGAGCUGUGGUGUUCUUAUCUGAGGUAGAUUGUGUAGGCUGACCACACUACAUGUAAUAUGGUUUUAUUCCAAAUAAAAUUUUAUAACAAGC